UUCAGACUAGAGAGUUUGAACUUGACAUGGUUAAUUAACGGCAGAGAGAAAUAAUUUUCAAUUAGAUGUUUGUACUUGUAAAUAUUUAUUAUAAAAAUUUUAAUAAAUAAAUAAGACUCUUACUAUUUCUAUGAAUCUUCCACACUCCUCAGGUGGAAAAAAGAAAAUCUAUAUGCGAUCAGCUUCUAGUGGAUACUACGCUCCCAC
rnacentral:lncRNA from 1 species